AUUGAACGCUGGCGGCAUGCCUUACACAUGCAAGUCGAACGGCAGCACGGGAGCAAUCCUGGUGGCGAGUGGCGAACGGGUGAGUAAUAUAUCGGAACGUGCCCAGUCGUGGGGGAUAACGCAGCGAAAGCUGUGCUAAUACCGCAUACGAUCUACGGAUGAAAGCGGGGGAUCGCAAGAACUCGCGCGAUUGGAGCGGCCGACAUCAGAUUAGCUAGUUGGUGGGGUAAAGGCCCGCCAAGGCGACGAUCUGUAGCUGGUCUGAGAGGACGACCAGCCACACUGGAACUGAGACACGGUCCAGACUCCUACGGGAGGCAGCAGUGGGGAAUUUUGGACAAUGGGCGCAAGCCUGAUCCAGCAAUGCCGCGUGCAGGAUGAAGGCCUUCGGGUUGUAAACUGCUUUUGUACGGAACGAAACGGCCCUUUCUAAUACAGGGGGCUAAUGACGGUACCGUAAGAAUAAGCACCGGCUAACUACGUGCCAGCCGCCGCCGUAA
rnacentral:rRNA from 1 species